rnacentral:rRNA from 1 species
CCUACGGGAGGCUGCAGUGAGGAAUAUUGGUCAAUGGCCGCAAGGCUGAACCAGCCAAGUCGCGUGAGGGAUGACGGUCCUAUGGAUUGUAAACCUCUUUUGUCAGGGAACAAAGGGCGCCACGUGUGGCGCUUUGCGAGUACCUGAAGAAAAAGCAUCGGCUAACUCCGUGCCAGCAGCCGCGGUAAUACGGAGGAUGCGAGCGUUAUCCGGAUUUAUUGGGUUUAAAGGGUGCGCAGGCGGAAUGUCAAGUCAGCGGUAAAAUUUCGGGGCUCAACCCCGUCGUGCCGUGGAAACUGGCGUUCUUGAGUGAGCGAGAAGUACGCGGAAUGCGUGGUGUAGCGGUGAAAUGCAUAGAUAUCACGCAGAACUCCGAUUGCGAAGGCAGCAUACCGGCGCUCAACUGACGCUCAUGCACGAAAGCGUGGGUAUCGAACAGGAUUAGAUACCCCAGUAGUC